GAUGAACGCUGGCGGCGUGCUUAACACAUGCAAGUCGAACGGAAAGGCUCCUGCUUGCAGGGGUACUCGAGUGGCGAACGGGUGAGUAACACGUGGGUGAUCUGCCCUGCACUUCGGGAUAAGCCUGGGAAACUGGGUCUAAUACCGGAUAGGACGAUGGUUUGGAUGCCAUUGUGGAAAGUUUUUCGGUGUGGGAUGAGCUCGCGGCCCAUCAGCUUGUUGGUGGGGUAAUGGCCUACCAAGGCGUCGACGGGUAGCCGGCCUGAGAGGGUGUACGGCCACAUUGGGACUGAGAUACGGCCCAGACUCCUACGGGAGGCAGCAGUGGGGAAUAUUGCACAAUGGGCGCAAGCCUGAUGCAGCGACGCCGCGUGGGGGAUGACGGCCUUCGGGUUGUAAACUCCUUUCGCUAGGGACGAAGCGUUUUGUGACGGUACCUGGAGAAGAAGCACCGGCUAACUACGUG
rnacentral:rRNA from 1 species